rnacentral:misc_RNA from 1 species
GAGAAAUUGAUUCUCUAAUAAUUUCUUUAGAAAAUAACUCUGCUUUCGCACAACAUGACCAAGGAUGAAUAACAGCGACAGACACAAAAUUUACUACAUAACUGGAGCAGUGUUUCAAUGUCAAUGUCAAGUACUCAAGCUCGUCACAGCCCCAGUCACCCCAACAACCCAAAUGUGUCAUAGCCUUUCUCUUUCAUGACAUUCAAUUUGGAAUUUCUCUCUUGUGAAACUCCAUUCUCAUCAGUCUCUUCAGCGCGGGAAUUAAAAAAGGUACAUGAUUAAAGAAGCAAACCUUAGCCAAACCAAGAACUUCUUGCAGCCGCAACAUCUCAACUGUUGCCAAGUGAACCAGCUGAGACUAUAUCGAAGCAAAAAACAUGAAAUUUCUUCAAGCAACAAAUCUUUGUUGCAACCUGCAACCUUCAAAUGAAAAUAUGUUACAGCGACUAUUGGUUGGUGCAAAAGAACUAUUGGCAGUAUAUAGUGACAUGAAUUAGGGUAUCCAAAACUUUUGGCAAAGGCCCCACUUGGAGGUUUUAACAACUCAAAACCACACAUUAGUAUCGCAAAAUCAACAUCCAUCAAAGCCAUCAAUUAAAUUCAGUUUCUAGAAACAUACACAUUGGUAUUAUAGCAUAUCAUUAACCAGAGAGUCGGAGACAUUGUCUCUAUUCUAGAUAAAUUUCUCUUUGUAAAAUUCUUAAAAAAAGAGACAAAUUAAAGCAUACAAUUAACUAACAAGCAAAAACCUAAAAAAUGUGCAAUAAUUACUUAUGGACUCACUUCACUAAAAUGGUUCAUAAACCAAGAAAAAUGAAACCGUAACUGCAUUUAAAAACUCUAGCACCUGUUUGUAAGCAUCAGAAAGACAAAAGGUCAAGGUUUAGUAGUUGCUUUAUUGCAUUCCCCACAUUGCUCAACUUAGAAGUAGGCAAUGCCUUCAAAAAUUACUGAUGUUUCUUGUUAGUCAGCAAACAAUUUGUAGUGAAGCAAUGGGGGGCUAAUAGUAAUACUGCCAAUAGCAGGUUGAAAACUUCCAUGAAGUUCUGGUGGUGGUUUCUAUUUACAAGUAGUGACUUUUUACAAGGAUCUUAUUGUGGUAUGUGCUCCAGUUCUUUCUCUUUUAGGGAAAAAAUUGUAAAAUCUUGCAUCUAAAAUUGGUUGGGUAAUUUGAACUAGGCCUAUGGAGUUUUCGGUGUGAACCGAACCGAGCCAUUUCAGUUCAAUCGGUUCGGUUUUUUAGUUCUAUCGGUUCGGUUUUUUAGUUCUAUCGGUUCGGUUCAGUUUGAAAUUUUUAAUAUGUUCAGUUUUCGGUACGGUUUUUUAUCGAUUUAAACCAAUAAAACCGAAUAGUGAAAUGACCCAAAUAAUUUUUCAGCCCAAGAUGCAUAAGCCUCAAGGCCCAAGAUGUAUAAGCCCGGCCCAAGAUGCAUAAGAUCAGCCUAAAGAAUAAAAAUUCUAAUAUUUUCGGUUUAAUACAACUGAACCGAACCGAACCAUUAUUUUUCAGUUUGAUUCGGUUCGGUUAUCUUUAGGUGAUCGGUUCGGUUCGGUUUACAUUUUUAAGCGAUUCGGUUUUUCGGUUUUUGAUAUUCAGUUCGAUUCGAAACCAAACUGAUCGAAUGCCCUCCCCUACCCAAGUAUAUUGGAAGCAAUGAAUCUGCUGGCUUUAGCUUAUUUUCAUAAUGCUUACUUCCUAAGAAUUAAAACAUGAAGAUCUCAACAAUUGCCAGCAACAAUGACUAAGAAUAAUAAGCUGCAGGAUGUAUUGCACUUUCAUUUUUCUGACUAGCAUGUAAAUAAUCUGAGUCAAAAGCUGACUAAGUUCUUCUCCCUCAAAGCUUUCGACAGUGUCCUUCAAACUUAACUCGAGAGGAGUAAACUUGAUGCCUAGACUCUCUGCUCUCUUUUUGGAUACUUGAUAUUUUGUCGUGGGUGGCUUGUCAUCUGCACAUUCUUUAGGAUGAUUGAGCUCAGGGAAAAGCUUGCGUAAAAUCUCCACAGCCUCAGAAGAGCGUGCAACUGCCCCAACUAAACAAUAUCUUCCAGAAGCUGAAUGAUUCUCAAAGGCAUAAACAUGUGCGUUGGAAACAUCUCUGACAUCAACCCAUCUGAAUGUUGUAUUCGGAUAUUUUUCUGCUAACCAUCUGAAUGUUGUAUUUGGAUAUUUUUCUGCUCCUGCAUAAAAAAAUCUCAACUACUUGCAUCAUAAAUAAUUGCAUGCAAAAAAUAUAUAUAUAUAGUAAGAAUGAGGUGAUUACCUUCUGGCAGAAUUAAGGAAUCUCAAGGAUUGGUUAUAUUUUCUUAUUGAGAAGCAUAGUAAAAUAAGUUAAAUUUUUAGUUUUCAAGUAGUUUUCAAUUUUCCUGGCUUAUUCUAAUAUCUUUCUUAUAGUUGGCCUCAACUAAUUUGUGAUUGAGGCUUAGUUGAGCUAAGUAUCUAAUAUGUUUUUCAUUGGUGUUUUUUUUAACUCAAAUUUUUAUUGAGUCAUUAGCAUUGUCACCAUUGUGGAUUUUGUGCCCCAAGUAAGGUAAGUUAGGACAUUCUCACCCCCCCUUGUUAGUUUCCUAGAACCAUGUUCUUUUUUUAUCAGAACAUUUCACAAAAUUCUAGAAUCCUCAUUGCAUGGCAUCCAUACGAGUUUCUAUGUCCAAACAUCUGAUCUAUCAUGCAUAUAGAUGUAAAUUUUCAAAAGAAAAGUUGCAGACAAUGGAGUGGUGAAGACCACAUGGGACAGCCGCCAGGUUAUGAUCAUGACAUUAAGUAGACAUUUUUGGAGUAGAUUCAAAUCCAAUUUAUUAUUUAAGAGCUGAUAAAAAUAGUAGUUAUUUGAAAGUGAAAAUGACCAGUAGAAGGUUGCUAGAUUUCACAUUCACAUAUCUAAACAUGGGAAAGAGAAGUAUAUGUGUGAUUUCUGAUAAAGUUCUAUGUAUGAGUUUGUUUUUGUUGCUUCAGUUGAAUUGAUUAAGGACAGAUGUCCCACUAUUUUGAUGUUCAUGUUAUUUAUUUUUGUCAAGGUGAGUAAAAAUUAGCCAAAAAUAAAGAUUAGCCAGGUAUAAUGUCACUAAAAUCUUGGCAGUAUCCAUCAAAAAGUAUUUCACGUGAGAAGAAGAAUAUUUUGCUAACAGAUGAAAAAUUGCCAUUUACAAGGUUCAGAAUGGACUCUGUACUAGUAUUAAGUGUUGGCUGUAAGAGAGGACCAAUCACCAAUCCAGGAUUUAUUGCAACCAUGUCUAUUCCAUUCUCUUUUGUAAACUUCCAAGCAGCUUCUUCUGCUAAGGUUUUUGAGAGCAUGUACCGUAACUUUGAUUUCUCACAAAUAUCAGGAUCUGAAAACCAUGUCUCAUCAAUUAUUACAUCAGGAGCAAGAGGUUUCCCAUUAAAUGCAACUGCUGCCAUGGAUGAUGUUAUAACCACCCCUUUGAUAGAAGGAACUUUAGUACAUGAUUUCAGAACGUUAAGUGUUCCCUUCAAAGCAGGAGCAAUAAGUUCUACCAGAAGAAGAAAAAAGAAUAAUAUCAUUGAGAUUAUUGAGGCUCUUUAUGACAUUGGGAAAAAGAACAUGCACAGUUACACACAAAUGGAUCAAAAUGCUGGCUCUUGCAAUGUCAAAACUGCAAUGGUCAAUUGGACUUCAGAUCCUUCAUCAAUGCAAAGUUUGGUGCAAAAUUGAAGGUACCUCAAGAAGCAUGCAGAAGUAUCCAUGAACAAUAACCAAAAAAUAGAAAAAAAAAAGAAAGAAGGUGAUCAUAUUUGAAUCAACUCAUUGACUAAUAAGCUUGUAUAGACAUAUGCCAACUUGAGAUUUUUGUCAAACGGGCCUCUUAAAAAUAUCAGCAAGCAUUUAAGGAAUUUCUAUUUUGAUUGCUACUUGAAAAAUUAACAUCGACAGCAGUAAAAAUACUCUCUAAAACUAAUUCACAACUGUGUAAUAGAAGGGAGAGAUCAGUAGCAGCAAAAUAAAAUGGAGAUGCUGUAUGGAAAACACAUUCACAUCCUUCAACCACAGGAUCAAAAGAUCCUUCAUCUAAUAAAUCUGCUUUGAAUAAUUGCAGUCUUUCUUUAGCUCCAUCAAGUACAAGAAAGUGUUCAGUUUUCUUUGCAUCAUCUGUGCCAUUAAUCGACAGAAUUCUUUCAAUAAUAUGGUAAAGAAUAUAUCUUACCAUGUGUAUUCAGUAAAAUUCUUCAGGAAUGAAUGCCUCAAAAAAGUACAACAUGUAUACUGCUGAACCUAACAGCAUAAAUGAGCUAACUGGGUAAUGGAGUAAGUUGAAUAGCCAAACUUUUCCUUUAAGAAAUAAGAAUAAUAUAUAUGCCCAAAUUUUAUAUAAGAAAAAGGAUCCAAGCAUGCAAACUGAUGAAGCAGAAGCCAUUUUACCUCUUCUAUCUAUCUGAUUGGCUGGCAUAAAACAAUAAUCAUGGCUAAGCUACCCAGAUUUAACAAUGAAUACUUCUACAUAUUUUUCACUUUACUUUAAUCUCUUGUUGUUUGGUUAUUAUUCACCUUCAAUAUAAUUUCAAAUAAGAUAGACCAUACAUUAACUUCAAACACUCUGUUAAUUUUUGUAUCCCAACAAAAAUUAAGCUCAUGACCUAAAACCUUUGGAGAAAUUAUCAUCAAAUAGAAUUUCUCCAAACUUCUACACGUUUCAAUUUCUCUUUCCCUUAACUAUUUUGAGAUUUAUAUUAGUCAGACAAGCACUAGUUUAGCUCAUGACCUCAAAUUCAGACUUUUCACUUAUACAUCAAGAUUCAAAUUAAAGAAAAAAAAAAACCCAGUCCAACAAAUUACUACUU